rnacentral:rRNA from 1 species
UACGUAGGGUGCGAGCGUUGUCCGGAAUUAUUGGGCGUAAAGGGCUCGUAGGCGGUUUGUCACGUCGGGAGUGAAAACACCGGGCUUAACUCGGUGCUUGCUUUCGAUACGGGCAGACUAGAGGCAUGCAGGGGAGAACGGAAUUCCUGGUGUAGCGGUGAAAUGCGCAAAUAUCAGGAGGAACACCGGUGGCGAAGGCGGUUCUCUGGGCAUGUCCUGACGCUGAGGAGCGAAGUGUGGGGAGCGAACAGGA